ensembl:lncRNA
UAAAAAUGGAUAUCAUGGAUAUCAUGUUUCCCUCAUCAGAAUGAGGACAUACUUCAUCACAACAGGCCCUGGCUGGAGAUACAGAGACUCAUCACAACAGGCCCUGGCUGGAGAUACAGAGACUCAUCACAACAGGCCCUGGCUGGAGAUACAGAGACUCAUCACAACAGAGAUUCAUCACAACAGGCCCUGGCUGGAGAUACAGAGACUCAUCACAACAGGCCCUGGCUGGAGAUACAGAGAUUCAUCACAACAGGCCCUGGCUGGAGAUACGGAGAUUCAUCACAACAGAGAUUCAUCACAACAGGCCCUGGCUGGAGAUACAGAGAUUCAUCACAACAGAGAUUCAUCACAACAGGCCCUGGCUGGAGAUACAGAGAUUCAUCACAACAGAGAUUCAUCACAACAGGCCCUGGCUGGAGAUACGGAGAUUCAUCACAACAGAGAUUCAUCACAACAGGCCCUGGCUGCCGAUAAGGAGAGUUUGCCCCCCUGCCGCGCCUCAUCGGAAACCUCUGUCUCAAAGCCUCGGAUCCGCAUUACGUUCAGCGUGUUAUUUUAUACACGUGGCGUCUGCUCACACUCCCCUUAACGUUUCUCUCUUUACCCUCUUCUGUACCAUAACGACGUAGCCCGUCUUUCUCCUAUUUCUGAACAGUUGAAAUAAAUAAACCCUGCUGUGAUGUGAACGAGCGUCUCCCCAAAAAAGUAUAUAUAUCGAAGGCUAUAAAAAAAAAAAACUUCUCCGUCUGCAGUCGCUCGAUAUGCUGCAUGUAAAAUGUUCUUGGCAGACUCGCUGUUCCACCUCUGGGAAGCAGAACGUUCUAGGCAGACUUCCUGUUCCACCUCUGGGAAGCAGAACGUUCUAGGCAGACUACCUGUUCCACCUCUGGGCAGCAGAACGUUCUAGGCAGACUACCUGUUCCACCUAUGUGCAGCAGAACAUUCUGGCAGACUAGCAUGUGUAUCAGGGCCGGUAGAGUCUGACAACGGGCGAGUGAGUUGUACAUCGUCCGGCACACUAUCAUUCAACUACUGCUUUAGACUGUCUCCUAUUGGUGAUGAUAAUCUACAUAGUUAUUCUGCUUUAGACUGUCUCCUAUUGGUGAUGAUAAUCUACAUAGUUAUUCUGCUUUAGACUGUCUCCUAUUGGUGAUGAUAAUCAGAAGAUAUCUAGACAACAGAGUGGAACACUGAGCAGAAGAUAUCUGUUGGUCAGAGCUGUUGGUCAGAGCUGUAGGUCAGAGCUGUAGGUCAGAGCUGUAGGUCAGAGCUGUUGGUCAGAGCUGUUGGUCAGAGCUGUUGGUCAGAG